rnacentral:rRNA from 1 species
UACGUAGGGACCAAGCGUUGUUCGGAUUUACUGGGCGUAAAGGGCGCGUAGGCGGCGUGACAAGUCAGUUGUGAAAUCUCCGAGCUUAACUCGGAACGGUCAACUGAUACUGUUGUGCUAGAGUGCAGAAGGGGCAAUCGGAAUUCUUGGUGUAGCGGUGAAAUGCGUAGAUAUCAAGAGGAACACCUGAGGUGAAGACGGGUUGCUGGGCUGACACUGACGCUGAGGCGCGAAAGCUAGGGUAGCAAACGGG